UUUACGUCGCCACUUCAGCGACUCCGAUCGCUGCGCAGUAAAACGGCACUGUCGCCGCCGCACUCGUCCGCGAUCGCUGCGAUAUUAAUAUUAUUGUUAUUGUAAAAUGUUGUAAUAAUCUAUUCGGUUGACGGGCGGAUGCUGUCGUUUUGACGACGACGACGACGCGCGGUAUACGGUUAUCGCGAUCGUAUAACAACGCGAGCACCUAUAAUUAAUAAUAAUUAAUCAUAUUACAUUAUGUAAUAUCAAUAGAAAUGAACACGCGCAGACAUCAUCUUUAUCAUAUAUCAUCAUCACGUAUCAGUGUUAUAAUAUAAUUGAUCAUAGGGACUGAAUAAAAACAAUCAAAGCCCGCCGCCGCCUUUUAGAUACCAGGACCGUAUUAUAGAUACACAAGUUCACACGAGCUAUGUUUGGACGAACAACAGAGUUUUCCUAACUAUUUUGAGCAUGAUAGCAAAGGCGCUGCAAUCCGAGCUAUUCUGAACAUCUGACAUCAUGAGCAAAUGCUGUAAUCGUUUAUACGAACGUUUUUGUUAAAAACGAAAUUGUCUCUUGGUUCACAUAACUUUCUCAGAUAUACAACAUG